rnacentral:rRNA from 1 species
GAUGAACGCUGGCGGCGUGCCUAAUACAUGCAAGUCGAGCGAACAGACGAGGAGCUUGCUCCUCUGACGUUAGCGGCGGACGGGUGAGUAACACGUGGAUAACCUACCUAUAAGACUGGGAUAACUUCGGGAAACCGGAGCUAAUACCGGAUAAUAUAUUGAACCGCAUGGUUCAAUAGUGAAAGACGGUUUUGCUUUCACCUAUAGAUGGAUCCGCGCCGCAUUAGCUAGUUGGUAAGGUAACGGCUUACCAAGGCAACGAUGCGUAGCCGACCUGAGAGGGUGAUCGGCCACACUGGAACUGAGACACGGUCCAGACUCCUACGGGAGGCAGCAGUAGGGAAUCUUCCGCAAUGGGCGAAAGCCUGACGGAGCAACGCCGCGUGAGUGAUGAAGGUCUUCGGAUCGUAAAACUCUGUUAUUAGGGAAGAACAAAUGUGUAAGUAACUAUGCACGUCUUGACGGUACCUAAUCAGAAAGCCACGGCUAACUACGUG